rnacentral:lncRNA from 1 species
AGUUUUUGUAGAGGAGAGCUCUUGCCAUGUUGCCCAGGCUGGUCUCGAACUCCUGGGCUCAAGCAAUCCCCUCGCCUUGGCCUCCCACAGUGCUGGAGUACGGGGCCUGGCCGUGGACUCCACUUUCUACAUAGCCUGCUAUGCGAAGCCUAAUUCACGCCAAGGGCGUGGAGUUGAUUUAGGGCUAAUUCACAUGCCCGCCCUGAGGUGCCUACUUCAUCUGGUACAGGUUGUUGGUGCCGCGGUGGUCGAUGUCAUGGCACAGGCCGGCUGUCACCAUGGCGAAGGCCUCCAGGUCCGUGUAGUAGCUCUUCAGUUUGCCGGUCUGUAGAGACAGGGCCACCUUGCUCACCGGUCCUGGCUCCAGCAGGGUGGGGAGUGGUGAGGGGUUGGGAUGACCUAGGCGUCGGGUUGGAGGUUGGACCUCCGACCACCGCAGGGCUGGGGUGCGCGGUGCACGGUGUCAGAGGGCGUUGCCCUCCUCCAUCCUUCUGCCCUGGGAGGACCCCCAUCUCAUCCCUCGGGGUGCUUGAGUGCUGCCCUUGGUACCAGGAGGGCCUGCACAACCCUGGUGAUUCUGGCAGCCACGUACCAUGAGCAGCGUGAACAUCGUCUGGGCCACGUUGAAGCCGUGGCGCCAGUUGUGGUAGGUGAUUCUCCGGUACCCUUUGCUGAUGGAGAACAGGAACCGCACCAGGACCUGGGGGAGCCGAGAGGACACAGGGCUCCGGCGGCAAGCGUGUAAGUCCCGCCAGAGCGGCACCUGUGGCUGACUUCACAGUGGAAGCCCUGCUCCGUGCCAUCAUCCCCACACCGUCUCCUGGACUUCCCGAUCUUCCCCAUCCCUGCGUUUCCCACUGGCCUCUGCUGGCCUUCCUGGGUAGGGGCUGCCACAUUGGCACCUAUGGGGUGGAGCCAGGUAGGGCAGGAGCUGAGAACAGCCCCAGCCUUCAGGGGCCGCCCAGCCUCCAUCCGACUGCCUGGCCUCAAGCUGGGAGGAGGACCCCUGGGGAUGCAGCAUAUUUUAAGAUGUUGGUUUUAGGCAUGGACAUUUGAAUGAGCAGAAUGUGUGGGCUGCAGGCUGGGGUGGGAGAACCGAUGUCCGCAGGGCAAGAGAAUGCUGGUCUCUCUUGCCCUGCGGACAUCGCCAGGAGGCUCUUCCUGCGGCCAUUGUGAUUUUUAGGGUCAGAAAAUUAUUUGGAAAUAUUUUUUAUUCUGCAAAUAUUUUCUAUACAUUUUUUCUUGAGUGUUUUCCCUUAGUAUUUAGUAAAACUUCUUUUGAAAAUGCUGGCCUGCUGCACCUGUUCUCAGAGGGGCAUGAGAAAAGAGGAUUCUCUUCCUAGGGCUGUGGGAAGCCCCUUGAGAUGUUGGAAGCAGGGCAGGGCAGGAGAACCCAGGGAGGGCACAGAGCUGUGGACGAGGGCUGGGAAAGCCAUCCCGCCUCCCCAGGGGGUCUCCGAGGAGUGCUGCUGUGGCCAAACCAGGGGGGCCACUUUGUGCUUUCUGUUUAGGUGAUGGGAUGCUUCUAUCUCCUCAGCACCCCACACCAAAUCCCCUGUUAUUGCCAGAUGAUGUGCCUAAUGAUCAAAUUGCUUGGAACUCCUAAUAAUAAAACUUUAAAUCUAUCCAUUCACCAUC